UACGUAGGGGGCAAGCGUUGUCCGGAUUUAUUGGGCGUAAAGAGCGUGUAGGCGGCCUGGCAGGUCAGCUGUGAAAACUCGAGGCUCAACCUCGAGACGUCGGUUGAAACCACCUGGCUAGAGUCCGGAAGAGGAGAGUGGAAUUCCCGGUGUAGCGGUGAAAUGCGCAGAUAUCGGGAAGAACACCCGUGGCGAAGGCGGCUCUCUGGGACGGUACUGACGCUGAGACGCGAAAGCGUGGGGAGCGAACAGG
rnacentral:rRNA from 1 species